rnacentral:rRNA from 1 species
CCUACGGGAGGCAGCAGUAGGGAAUCUUCCGCAAUGGACGCAAGUCUGACGGAGCAACGCCGCGUGAGUGAUGAAGGUUUUCGGAUCGUAAACUCUGUUGUUAGGGAAGAACAAGUACCGUUCGAAUAGGUCGGUACCUUGACGGUACCUAACCAGAAAGCCACGGCUAACUACGUGCCAGCAGCCGCGGUAAU